AGCUUGCUCUUCUUGGAUGAGUUGCGAACGGGUGAGUAACGCGUAGGUAACCUGCCUUGUAGCGGGGGAUAACUAUUGGAAACGAUAGCUAAUACCGCAUAACAAUGGAUGACACAUGUCAUUUAUUUGAAAGGGGCAAUUGCUCCACUACAAGAUGGACCUGCGUUGUAUUAGCUAGUAGGUGAGGUAAUGGCUCACCUAGGCGACGAUACAUAGCCGACCUGAGAGGGUGAUCGGCCACACUGGGACUGAGACACGGCCCAGACUCCUACGGGAGGCAGCAGUAGGGAAUCUUCGGCAAUGGGGGCAACCCUGACCGAGCAACGCCGCGUGAGUGAAGAAGGUUUUCGGAUCGUAAAGCUCUGUUGUAAGUCAAGAACGGGUGUGAGAGUGGAAAGUUCACACUGUGACGGUAGCUUACCAGAAAGGGACGGCUAACUACGUGCCAGCAGCCGCGGUAAUACGUAGGUCCCGAGCGUUGUCCGGAUUUAUUGGGCGUAAAGCGAGCGCAGGCGGUUUGAUAAGUCUGAAGUUAAAGGCUGUGGCUCAACCAUAGUUCGCUUUGGAAACUGUCAAACUUGAGUGCAGAAGGGGAGAGUGGAAUUCCAUGUGUAGCGGUGAAAUGCGUAGAUAUAUGGAGGAACACCGGUGGCGAAAGCGGCUCUCUGGUCUGUAACUGACGCUGAGGCUCGAAAGCGUGGGGAGCGAACAGGAUUAGAUACCCUGGUAGUCCACGCCGUAAACGAUGAGUGCUAGGUGUUGGAUCCUUUCCGGGAUUCAGUGCCGCAGCUAACGCAUUAAGCACUCCGCCUGGGGAGUACGACCGCAAGGUUGAAACUCAAAGGAAUUGACGGGGGCCCGCACAAGCGGUGGAGCAUGUGGUUUAAUUCGAAGCAACGCGAAGAACCUUACCAGGUCUUGACAUCCCGAUGCUAUUUCUAGAGAUAGAAAGUUACUUCGGUACAUCGGUGACAGGUGGUGCAUGGUUGUCGUCAGCUCGUGUCGUGAGAUGUUGGGUUAAGUCCCGCAACGAGCGCAACCCCUAUUGUUAGUUGCCAUCAUUCAGUUGGGCACUCUAGCGAGACUGCCGGUAAUAAACCGGAGGAAGGUGGGGAUGACGUCAAAUCAUCAUGCCCCUUAUGACCUGGGCUACACACGUGCUACAAUGGUUGGUACAACGAGUUGCGAGUCGGUGACGGCGAGCUAAUCUCUUAAAGCCAAUCUCAGUUCGGAUUGUAGGCUGCAACUCGCCUACAUGAAGUCGGAAUCGCUAGUAAUCGCGGAUCAGCACGCCGCGGUGAAUACGUUCCCGGGCCUUGUACACACCGCCCGUCACACCACGAGAGUUUGUAACACCCGAAGUCGGUGAGGUA
rnacentral:rRNA from 1 species